ACGGAGGGGGCUAGCGUUGUUCGGAAUUACUGGGCGUAAAGCGCGCGUAGGCGGUUUAUCUAGUCAGGCGUGAAAUCCCCGGGCUUAACCUGGGAACUGCGUUUGAUACUGAUAGACUAGAGGACGGGAGAGGGUAGUGGAAUUCCCAGUGUAGAGGUGAAAUUCGUAGAUAUUGGGAAGAACACCAGUGGCGAAGGCGGCUACCUGGACCGUACCUGACGCUGAGGUGCGAAAGCGUGGGGAGCAAACAGG
rnacentral:rRNA from 1 species